rnacentral:rRNA from 1 species
CCUACGGGGGGCAGCAGUGGGGAAUAUUGGACAAUGGGGGGAACCCUGAUCCAGCCAUGCCGCGUGUGUGAAGAAGGCCCUCGGGUUGUAAAGCACUUUCAGUGAGGAAGAACGCCUGGUGGUUAAUACCCAUCAGGAAAGACAUCACUCACAGAAGAAGCACCGGCUAACUCCGUGCCAGCAGCCGCGGUAAUACGGAGGGUGCGAGCGUUAAUCGGAAUUGCUGGGCGUAAAGCGCGCGUAGGUGGCUUGAUAAGCCGGUUGUGAAAGCCCCGGGCUCAACCUGGGAACGGCAUCCGGAACUGUCAAGCUAGAGUGCAGGAGAGGAAGGUAGAAUUCCCGGUGUAGCGGUGAAAUGCGUAGAGAUCGGGAGGAAUACCAGUGGCGAAGGCGGCCUUCUGGACUGACACUGACACUGAGGUGCGAAAGCGUGGGUAGCAAACAGGAUUAGAUACCCUUGUAGUC